rnacentral:rRNA from 1 species
UACGGGGGGGGUAAGCGUUGUUCGGAAUUACUGGGCGUAAAGGGCUCGUAGGCGGCCAACUAAGUCGGACGUGAAAUCCCUCAGCUUAACUGGGGAACUGCGUCCGAUACUGGAUGGCUUGGAUUUGGGAGAGGGAUGCGGAAUUCCUGGUGUAGCGGUGAAAUGCGCAGAUAUCAGGAGGAACACCCAUAGCGAAGGCAGCUUGCUGGGACGUUACUGACGCUAAGGCGCGAAAGCGUGGGGAGCGAACAGG